GCCCCCUUAGCUCAGGGGAUAGAGCACCGGCCUCCGGAGCCGGGUGCGCAGGUUCGAAUCCUGCAGGGGGCGC
rnacentral:tRNA from 1 species